UCUGGCCGGCGUGGUCACAUUCCUUUCUCAAGCAGGGGCUUCAGGAAAGAAUGUGAACUACGCUGGAGGAAUGCGUUCACCUCUUGGCCCUGGGCCUCUGGGUCAGAAAGAGACAUCCCUGGCCAUGGAACUCUGAAAGCAGGAGAUAAACAUGAUGGAUGUCAGAGAACUUGGAAGGGAGUGAGAGCCAGGUUCCAGCGAGGCCGAGGUCUCAGGGUGAGCAGGGGGCCGGCCCUGUGGGGAGGGGGAGGGCACCCCACCUCUGCUCCCCAUGCGUCUGCUUGGAUUUUCACAGCAGUGGACAUGAUGCUUACAAAGGGAAGUGCCUGCCGGAGGAGGCCAAGCUGUUGACUUUGCAGGUGGCUGGCCAGGAACCCCAGUGGUUGGUGGUCAAGCUGACUUUCCCACUAAAAGAUGAAAUAUACCUAGAGGAGUCUGAACCCUAAAAACAACUGAAAUCUUAGAAGAUCUGUUUGCCCCAAGUGUUUCCUCUGGGGACAAAUCCAAGGCCCAGACACAAACGCGUCCCUCAGCCCAGGCCUGCCCAGGCUUGGGAGUGUCUUCGUAUCUCACCCCACUGGAAGGUCUUCAGGGGCACUAACAGACACGGAGCUGUUACCUCCUCGAGUAACAGUGCCUUCUUCUGGAAGACUUCCUGAAGGAUCUGCCUGUGCUGUUCCACGGAUUGAAAACAUGAUUGUUAAAUAAAACACAUAUAGAGGAGAACAAAAACAACCCCACAAGACCAAAAUGUACAGCUCAGUGAGCCGUCGCGGAGGAAUGCUCUUGCCCCCCUAUUCACCUUAGGAGAAAGGUGGCAACCAGGGCCCCACUCGGUCGCCCAUGAUGCUGCUCCGUGAAUGGCUUGCCCCCUGCCCGCUUCCCGGUGGCACAGGAAGGUGACUCUGGUGUUGGCUGGAUGGGGAAGCAUCCUGACCAGUGGCUGAGAAGAGGUCAAGCUAGGACUGAAAGCUGCUCUGGCUCCAGGAUUGCUGGGAUGAAGGCUGCACGCUCCAUUCGCCAAGCUGCCCCUGGCCGAGCUGUGCCCGACGCUCAGAGCUCAGCUGGCAGGUGCUCCCAUUCCUGCAUGCUGGCACGCACGUCGCUUGGGUGGACCAGUGCUAGGGUCAUUCGGGCCCCCUGAGCUGGUGGGAAGCUGCACACAUUUCUCCUCUUGUUGGAGGUCCUUAAGCCUCAUGGCAGUGUUUCCAAUUCACCUGGUCUGCUGUGGCCGCCAGAAACUGCCUUUAACCAGCACACCAGGAAGUCUGAGACGACCCAGAACACUUGGGCCUUGGGGACUGAAACUGCAGCGGCUUCCUCGUCCCAGCCAGAUGGAAACAGAGCCGAGGAGGAAUUGCAUUGGCCUGACCAGUUCCUGGCACCAGCUCUGCGCACUGUCUCACUUAAUCUCCACAACAAACACAGGCAAGUACUGUCCUGACCGUCCCAGGACGGGUAAGGUCAGAAGACCAGGCCUCCCUGGGUUAUAACCCCUCUUCCCCAACUGUGGGCUUGAGGUUUGGAGCCCGGCGGUGUGCACUGGACCAGCCCUGAGCUGGCUGCACCCAGGCCCGUCUCAGGCUCACUUGUCUUAACAGCGGCCAUGGCUUUCAGACCCACCUCCUUCCCCCAGUGUCCCCUAGUGUCCCAGGGCUCCUCUGACGAGGGUGCCUGUCAUGCUCCCAGGGUGAGUCAGCCCACGUGUUUAACCAAGCUUCAAGGAUUUGUGACCAAGCUCUCCAAACAGGUGACCGUUGGACUCACCCCAGGUUGUUGCAGCACCCAUGCAAUUUAGGGGGACGGGGCCACGCUGCACCGGAAAUGGUGGCAGACGUGGCCUGUUGUGCUGAGCUGCUGAGCUGGUGCUGGUGCCUUUGCCAGUGAACUGAGGCAGAGGAAAUUACACCUGGGACUGCUUAUGGACUUGAUGGCAUGGAGCGGAUUUCCAGUUUCUAUUCAUGGGGAAGGCAUCCACUAAUCCUGCUCAAGGUUGAGACUUCAGAGGCCAAAGAUGGGUUUUCCCAGUCCUUUUGAUGUUGAGGCUGAGGUGGGAUUAGCUAUGGGGCCUCCCGGCCUAGUGGUCUGUGAGUGGGCACCUCAGCCAGGUGCCCAGCUGGGAAUCUGGGUUGAAGUCACCCUGCAUCCCGCCAGUGUAAGAGGAUGAGGUGGGGGCACAGCUCUAGGAAGACAACCCUUAGGAAACAAGAUGGGGCAGGUUUGGCCACAGGUUCCAAAAAGGAGCAGAAAAAACACAGCACAAAAAUCCAGAAAUGAGUGGAGAACCAGCGUGCCUUGUAUUUGUUGGGAAUGAUAAGAUUUACAAUUUUGUGCCUCUCUUCCUUAAACCAUUAAAGUCUUGAGAUAUUUGAUACUUUGCAGUAUAAACCCCAUUAGCUAGACCCGCCUUUCUCACUGAUAUAUGGCACCAAAGCCUUUGUCAUUUAUUUAUCAAAGAAUUAAGUUCAUUCCAACUUAGCUGGGAGAUACCCAAGUCCUAUAAAAUCUAGAUUCCGUGGGAAUACUGAAAAAUCCUCUUUGAGCUUUUAGGAUGUCGAGGGUGGAUGUGUAUACUUACUAGCAAGAUUUGGGGAGGACCUAUGCUAUCUCCCUGCUGGGCUCCCCCUCAAUGAACACAUGAAUUCACCUGACAUCUCCUGCAGCCGACCUUGACAGAGAGAUGGGGAACACAGGGUCUCGGCCCCCUGGGCACAGUCAAUCUUAUGAUGGUCAAGAUUCUGCAGAUCCUUGGAGAUGGCCAAGCACCCACUGUUCCUUUGUCACCCUGCCUUCACUGGGACGAGCUUCAUCUGAUUCAGGGACAGCCAGACCGUGGGACUGCCGGACAGUAGGGCUCACUUUCCAUCCAGGAUACUGAGAGCUCUUCCGGUGAUGCUCCGUGUAGGCUGCUCUUGGGCUAGGGGUCAGCCAGUGGGGGUUAUCUGGAGAGUUCUAGGGAAGUUCUCAACUUACUAUAAACUACCUACUGUCCUUCACGCUGCUGUGCCACUUAAAUCCCAUCAUAGAAUCGUCACUAUUUUGAGUAAGCUCUGCUCUCCCCAUCAUUUUUUCAAAAACAAGUGCUGAGGAGAAAACCGCAGGGCGGA